rnacentral:rRNA from 1 species
UUCUAUAAAAUUAUAGAACAUUUUAUGCUAAAACUAGUAACAAGAGCUUACCCCUCUCUACAAUGCAAGUAUAAGCCAGCAAGAACUCAUCACUGGCAAAUAGCAGGCCUAAAUUCAAGUAGCAAAACCCCCCCCCCGAAAACACUACCUCACCUUAACUGUUAACCUAACACUAGAGCAUUCCAAGAAAGAUUAAAAGGGGGAGAAGGAAUUCCGCAAAUAUUAGUUCCGCCUGUUUACCAAAAACAUCGCCUCUUGUGAAUCAAUAAGAGGUCUAGCCUGCCCAGUGACUCUGUUCAACGGCCGCGGUAUCCUAACCGUGCAAAGGUAGCGUAAUCACUUGUCCCCUAAAUAGAGACUAGUAUGAAAGGCAUCACGAGAACUAAACUGUCUCCUCCCCCUAAUCAGUGAACCUAAUAACCCCGUGAAGAAGCGGGGAUCUCAAUAUAAGACGAGAAGACCCUAUGGAGCUUAAAACACUACAUCACCUGCCACCCACUUAUCCACCCUGGCACACUGAUUAUAUGUUUUUGGUUGGGGUGACCGCGGAGAAAAACCUAUCCCCCGCGAUAAAGGAAUCCUCCACAAACAGUAAGUCACAACUUUAUGUAUCAGAAAACUGACAUUAUUGACCCAAUAUAUUUGAUCAACGAACCAAGUUACCCUAGGGAUAACAGCGCAAUCCACUUCGAGAGCUCCUAUCGAC